UAGGACUUAAUAAUAUAGUGGGUGGGAGCAGGUGGAAGGACUUGGACAUACGAUUCUAAAAUCCGUGAAUGCCCACAUGUGUGACGACCAUAUGCCCGUGUCCUGAGGUUUUCUCUCCAGACAGAUUCCAGUUGCCCACGAGAGGGCGCUGCAGAAUCACGGAUCUCAAGCGGGUUUGUUUCCCAGGAAGUGAGACUGGUCCGUGAGUGGCAGUUAAUCAAAGGGAAAGGGGCUGGGAAGACAACGCCCUGUUCCAAAGCUCCCCACUAGAGGCAAAACCUCCAGGCUCCAUCUCUGUGAAGUCAAGAGACUUCAUGUUCAAGGACACUGUGCAGCUUCGCACCUCCAAGCCUUUGCUUCUGCAUCGCCUGACACUUGGAGCACCCUUCUCCACUUUCAGAUUGAGACUUCGGAACACUUUAUCAUCAGCCUAUCUGUAAAGACUUCCUUGCUGGUCCCUCCCAUCGCAGAAUAAACAGCCUGCUCCGUAGGAUUGUACUGUAC
rnacentral:lncRNA from 10 species